CCCUGCCCAGCCAGUCCCUGCGAACUGCCCGGCGCGUCCUGCCUUGCCAGACCCUCUGCCCGGGGUCAUCCGCAGCCCGCGGGCGCCAUCGGCUCCAGGCACACAUCACCCGUGCUGGAACCCCAGCGUGUGGAGACCGGAGGCCAAAGAAACGAAACUCCCCACGCUGCGCCGUGGAGAAUAAUCACUGCCUUUUCAGAGGCCGACUUCGCCCCCUGCCAAGACAGGGAGCUUGGGAGAUGUCUGCGCAAGGAUCACAAGGUCCCCCCGAAUACUCAAAAUAGACUUUGCAGAGAAGAUCCUUCCAACCUACUGUCUAGAGGGCAGAGGCAAGGCUGCAAGCAUUCCGGAAGUCCAACAGGGGAGGGAGAGUGGAGGAAGGAGGCGUCUCAACAUCUGGAACCAUAUUUCCAUCAGAUGUGUUUCUCAAGCACUCUGCCACUCCUUUCUACCUCUCCUGCGUUUGAUCUGAGGACGGCCCGUUCCACAGGUAAUACCGGGAAGAAGUGAAGAAAGCAGAGUCGGGGUGGGGGGAGGUUUGAUUAUUCAUUGGUUUGUGACACACACAGUCAAAAGACAACUUCGGGCUUGUUUCCCUUAAGAUGGGCAGGGAAACCUGUUUUGAUGCAAUGCUGUGUGAGCUGAGACCACAGUAGGUAAAGGAAUGAGGCAUGCAGAUAUCUGGGGAAGAGUUUUCAGGAGUAAGAAAGACAGUGCCAAAGUCUCUAGGAGGGAAAGCAGGAGACCCAUGGGGCUGGAGAGGAAUAAACAAGAGGGGGCGUGGUAGGGGAUUGGCUGUUGGCAGGUGGGCAUGAUUGGACCGUUGACAUUUUCUCUGGGUGAGAUGGGGAGCCACAUGGGGUCUUGAGUAGGGUGACAUGAUGCCUCUUGUGUCACAUGCAAGAGCAGAAGCAGAGAGCACAGCCAGACAGGGCUUCUGGAAGAAUCCAGGGGAGAUAUUUCUCUCGAUGGUGUUGGCUUGGACCAAAUGGUAUCAGUGGAGGUGGUGAGAUAGGGUUGGACUUCGGAUAUAUUUAAAGGUAAAGCUGAAAAGAAUUGCAGAUAAGUUAGAUACGAGGUGUGAGGGAAAGAGACAUAUCCAGGAAGAUUCCAAAAUUCUUGACUUCAGCCACUGGAAGGAUACAGUUGUCAGGUGCUGAGAUGGGCAAGACUGGGAGAAAAGCAGGCUUGGAAGGGAAGAUCUGGAGUUCAGCUUUGGCUCUGCCAAAUUUGCGUUGCCUACUGGAUAUCCAGGUAGGUGUGCUGAGGGGGUGGGGGAUAGAGAUGGUAGAGUCAACGAAAACACCCAGUGUUCAUGGAGCUCGUCCAAUGGGCCAAAUGCUGUCUGUGUGCUUUAUCUGUAUAACUCAUUCCAUCGCCAUGACAAUCUGAUAAGAGAUGAUUCUUCUUAUGCAUGCCAGGAACACAAAGGCACAGAAGAUGAAGUAACUUGCCCACGGCCACACGGUUGACACCAUGAAGGCUGAACAAAGGAUAUCUGGGGGCAAAAUCUGACCCAUGGGCUGCCCAUUGCCACCUCUGGGCAGCCCUCCUUGAUGGUGUGGAGUCCGCGGUCCGCAUUGGUUAACUUAACUGUGCUUCCUCAGAUCCAGUCUGGAAUUAAUUAUUGAAUUGUAUGCAUUUUCAAUGCCAUCCUCAAGCUAACAGCCAACUAUGCGGGGGAAUAAAACGGAGCAGAGAACCGAGUUGGGUUCCAGAGACCCCAGAUUGUCUUCAUUUGCAGUUGCCAGGUUCCCUGCAGCCCGGGUCUGUGGAUUUCCCGCGGCUCAGCGCCCGCAGCUCAGGCUCCGUGGAGCCCGGCGGCAUGGACGAGGCGUCGCGCGCGCCCUCUAGUGGAGAAAAAGGGUCACUGCCGAACGCCAGCUGCGGACCGUCGAGAGUUCCUUGGGCCAUGGCUCCUGCCGGGAGCAGCAGCCCUGGGGCCGGGAUCCAGGAUGCAGAGGCGAGAAAAUGAACUGCCCGGCCACCACGAAGACAACCCACCCCUUGCCAGUCACCCCUCAAACUACUGACAAUGUCAACAACAAUAAUUAUAACAAUCAUAUUAAUAAGUAGAAUGACAAAUAUAAUAAUAUUUAACAGUUUGUGAUUUUCAGCCCACAAGGUUUCGCCUACUGUGUAGAUUACUCGGGACUCUGCAGGCCAGUAGGCCAUGUAUAGAUGGACAGAAAGAGGUUUGUUAUCAGAAAUGGGCUCACAUGACUGAGGAUACUGUGAAGUCCCACGACCUGCUGUUUGCAAGUAGGGGAUCAGGGAAGCCAGUGGAGUAGGUCAGUCCAAGCCCAAAGGCCGAGAACCAGAGGAGCCGACGGCCCAGCUCAAGCAGAAAGAGUGGCACUCACCCUUCCUCUGCCUUUUGUUCUCUUCAGGCCCUCAGCAGAUUGCAGGACGCCCCGACACAAGGAAGGGCGAUCUUGACUCAGUCAGUCCACGGAUGCACGCUAACCCCUUCCAGAAACACCCUCACAGACACACCUAGAAAUAAUGUGGGGUUUUUGGUGUUUUACUUUUAAUUGCAUUUAUUUUAAUGCCGGAUGUAUUUCCGCGUUGCCAGCUCCUGAGCAUCUCUGAGCCCAAUCAAGUUGACACAUACAAUUAACCAUCACGCUGUGUCAGUUCAAUCAUUAAAAAUACGCAACACUCAGCCGGGCGCGGUGACUCACGACUGUAAUCCCAGCACUUUGGGAGGCUGAGGUGGGUGGAUCACAAGGUCAGGAGUUCGAGACCAGCCUGGCCAACUGGUGAAACGCCGUCUCUAAUAAAAAUACAAAAAAUUAGCUGGUCGUGGUGGCAGGCACCUGUAAUCCCAGCUGCUCAGGAGGCUGAGGCAGGAGAAUCGCUUGAACCCGAGAGGCAGAGGUUGCAGUGAGCCGAGAUCACGCCAUUUCAGUCCAGCUGGGAGACAGAGCAAGACUCCGUCUUGAGAACAAACAAACAAACAGACAGACAGACAAAAAAACACGCAACACUCUAUUAACGCAUGAAUGUAUUCUCACCGAACAAGAUUCAAACAGUAUGAAUGAACAUAUUGCAAAUGUUUUUAAGUGUUUUUGAAAACUUUCAUUUUGAAACAAUUUCAAACUUAGUUGAAAAGUUGCAAGGAUGGCACAAAAACCUUCUAUUAAUACAUAGCUUUUAGCAGGAUUCCUCAGUUGUUAACAAUUUGCCACAUUUGCUUUAUAAUUUUUGCUCUGUCUCUACAUACUUUUAAGAUCUGAGCCAUUUGAAAUAUAAUGCCCCCUUAUAAUAGUUCCGUGGGUCUUUCCUAAAAACAAGUCAUUAUCUUCCAUAAUCCAGUACAGUUGUUCAAAUCAAGAAAAUUAACAUGGAUGCAAUAGUAUUAUCUCAUCUGCAGACCUUCUUCAAAUUUCACCAAUUGUCUCAAUAAUACCAUCCUUUUUAGCAUUUUUUUGGCUGAUUCCCACUACAAACUAUGAAAGCACAAAUGUCUCUCCUCUGCCUUGCCCAGAGGUUCCUCUUUCAAUCAUAGGGGAGGUGCCGAUAGGGUCUGUCUUUCAUUUUUCUCAAUGGAAGCACAUUCCCCACUUCUCAAUUUGCCUUGGGAGCUCUUAUUUCAAUCUCUUCUCAAUCCUUCGAAGCAGGACUCCUCCCUAGCCAUAUUCUACACAGAAGGAAACAGAAACUCAGCGUGAGGACGGCUCCUGCCCUGCGACCUCAGGUCCCCCAGCUGCCUUGCUAAGAGUUGAACCGUGCCCCCAGCCCCUACCCUGAUACAUUUCAGCAAAUUGAUAUGCAAGGCCCCUUUCCAGGCCCUGGGAACAUGAAGAGGAAGUUGCUGAUGGCUGUGCUCAAAGACUUCCCAGGCUAGUGCAAGGGACAGGAGAGGGCGGCCCUGCUGGAAGCUCAGUGAGGAGCCCUGCGGUGGGGAGUGGUUGAAGCCGUUAAGUCCUCUGGUGACCUAUGGGUGUGGAGGCUGGACCAGAGGGCCUUAAGGGGUAGCCCUGCAGGUCCCAACCCCAUUCUUGGUGGAAGUGUUGGCUGAGGUCUCUGGAGUUGAGUGGGGUGGCAGAACUGGGCACUCUCAUGACAGGAGAGGGGGGAUGGGCAGGAGAGGUGUUCAGAAAAGGAGUGCAGGGAGGGCGGAAGAGCCGCUGUGUGAGUUUCCCCCAGCCCCUUGAGCAGCUGUGGGCCUCCUGCCCAGUCCCCAUGCUGGGACCGAGAGGGCAAAGCGUGCAGAGAAGGCUGCACACCCUGCAGCCUCAGCCAGCGCGUGAUAGGGGAGCUCUGGGCAGGGACAAAGCUGCAGUCCCUGUCCCUGAAUGUCGGGGCGGGGGGGGGCGGGGAUAGAAAGGAGAAAAUGGGGCAGAGAGAAAAGAAAGCGGUGGCGUGCACAUGCCCAGGCCCUUUGCUCCACUUUCCAUGCUAUAUGAGACACUUCCCAAAAUUCACACUCCCUGGGACCCUGAGGAUGGGGGCUGUAUCAGAGGAAUUAAUUCAGUCACAGGAGGACAGGAGUCCAGCUCUGACUCAGUCCCAGUGGAGCAUCGUAGAAAACCGACAACCAGUGUCCAAGGAGCCCACUUUGGUGUCUGAUGGGUCACCAGGAAGAGUUUAUUAGAUUCCUGAAAAUCAUAAGUAAGCAUCCCUGCUUUGUGGAAUUUCAGUUGGUGAGUGACAAUGCCAAGUAUGCAAUUUGUCCUUCAACUUUUCAUUUAUGCCACACCGCGUGCUGGGCUCUCUGCAGGUGCUGGUGAAACAGACAUGAAAAGGCACAACCCCUGCCUCGGGAUCUGGUGGCAAGAUCAACAGGUAAACUGCAGGUCUGAUACGGAUUGACAGGUGCCACUCAGAGUGAGUACGGGUGGCAGAAACUCAGAGGGGUCCGCCUGCCCAGUCUGGGAUUGGGAAAGGCAUCUGAUUAGUUUCUCAUGGCUGUUGUAACAGAUUACCACUACCUUAGUGGCUUAAAACAACAUAAAUGUAUUCUCUUAUGACACUGAAGGUCGUUAAGUGUGAAAUCAGUUUCCCUGGCUAUAGGUGUCAUCUGAGCUGGUCUUUUCCGGAGGCUCCAGGGGAGAAUCGCUUCCUGGCCCUGUUCAGCUUUGGGAGGCUGCCUGCAUCCUUGCCUGCAGCCCCCUUCUCCUUCUUCAAAAUGCACCCCUGCAACCUCUGCACCCAACAUCACACGGCCUUCCCUGCUGCACUCAAAU
rnacentral:lncRNA from 1 species